rnacentral:rRNA from 1 species
GUGCCAGCCGCCGCGGUAAUACGUAGGUGGCAAGCGUUGUCCGGAUUUAUUGGGCGUAAAGCGAGCGCAGGCGGAAUGAUAAGUCUGAUGUGAAAGCCCACGGCUCAACCGUGGAACUGCAUCGGAAACUGUCAUUCUUGAGUGCAGAAGAGGAGAGUGGAAUUCCAUGUGUAGCGGUGGAAUGCGUAGAUAUAUGGAAGAACACCAGUGGCGAAGGCGGCUCUCUGGUCUGCAACUGACGCUGAGGCUCGAAAGCAUGGGUAGCGAACAGGAUUAGAUACCCUGGUAGUCCAUGCCGUAAACGAUGAGCGCUAGGUGUUGGGGACUUUCCGGUCCUCAGUGCCGCAGCAAACGCAUUAAGCGCUCCGCCUGGGGAGUACGACCGCAAGGUUGAAACUCAAAGGAAUUGACGG